CUUCAGCCUCCCGAGUAGGUGGAAUUAUAGGUGCGUGCCACAUCUGGCUGAUUUUUGUAUUUUUAGUAGAGACGGGGUUUCACCAUGUUGGCCGGGCUGGUCUCGAACUCCUGACCUUAGGUGAUCUGCACGCCUCGGCUUCCCAAAGUGCUGGGAUUACAGGCGUGAGCCACCACGCCUGGCCGUCCAACUUUUAUUUGAAGUUCUGGGGUACAUGUAGAGGAUGUGCAGGUUUGUUACAUAGGUGUGUGCGCCAUGAUGGUUUGCUGUACAGAUCAUCCCAUCACCCAGGUAUUAAGCCCAGUAUCCCUUAGCUAUUCUUCCUGGUACUCUCCCUCCCCAGCACCCCGCUCAACAGGCACCAGUGUGUGUUGAUCGCCGCCAUGUGACCAUGUGUUCUCAUUGUUCAGCUCCCACUUAUAAGUGAGACCAUGCGGUCUCGCUGGUUUUCUGUUCCUGUGUGAGUUUGCUGGAGGCUAUUAUCCUUAGCAAACUAAUGCAGGAACAGAAAUCCAAAUACUGGAUGUUCUCACUUGUAAGUGGGAGCUAAAUGAUGAGAACUUAUAACACAAACAAGGAAACAACAGACACUGUGGUUGACUCCAGGGUGCAGGAUGGGAGGAAGGAGAGGAGCAGAAAAGAGAACUAUUGGGUACUCGGCAUAAUACCUGGGUGAUGAAAUAUUCUGUACAACAAACACCGAAGACACGAGUUUACUUAUGUAACAAACCUUCACAUGUACCCCCAAAACAGAAAUAAAAGUUAAAAAACAAAGAAAUUU
rnacentral:lncRNA from 1 species